AUUCAAAUAGCUUAACUUAUAGAGCAUAUUAUUGAAGAUAAUAAGGUAAAUUUAUUUUUUUGAAUA
rnacentral:tRNA from 1 species